rnacentral:rRNA from 1 species
CCUACGGGAGGCAGCAGUGAGGAAUAUUGGUCAAUGGGCGCGAGCCUGAACCCGCCAAGCCGCGUGAAGGAUGACUGCCCUACGGGUUGUACACUUCUUUUAUCAAGAAAUAAAUUGCGUCUCGUGUGCCUUUUUGUAUGUCCUUUAUGCAUCAGGAUCGGCUAACUCCGUGCCAGCAGCCGCGGGACUACGGAGUCUCCGAGCGUUAUCCGGAUUUCUUGGGGUUAAAGGGAGCGUAGAUGGGUUGUUAAGUCAGUUGUGAAAGUUGGGGGAGCAAACGUAAAAGUGCAAUGGAUACUGGCAGCCUUGAGUACAGUUGAGGGAGGCGGAAUUCGAGGUGUAGCGGUGAAAGGCUUAGAUAUCACGAAGAACUCCGAUUGCGAAGGCAGCCUACUAAACUGCCACUGACAUUGAUGCUCGAAAGUGUGGGUAUCAAACAGGAUUAGAUACCCGAGUAGUC